GCCAGGCCGACUAAGGAGCGUCGGCCGCGUCGCUACGGUGACGCAGCCCGUCUUGCCCCGGAGUCCGCUUCGGGGUGCAUUGCCAUGCCAUGUCAUUUCUGCCGGAUCGGUGCCGAUCCGGCAGCUUUUGUAACAGCGUGACCGGGUGAUGACAGUUUCCGUCACGCGCGACUUGUUAAAAUACUGAUAAUCUCAGCGGGCCAGGCAGUCGAUUCAGCGUCUGUCUGCAUUGUUCAGCCAGACUUCGCAUAUGACCCAGCAACGCACGCUCAAGAACACCAUUCGCGCCACCGGCGUCGGCCUGCAUAGCGGCGACAAGGUGU
rnacentral:sRNA from 20 species